ACGACCUUACUUGAACAGGAUCUCCUCUAUAGAUUUGUACUUCUGUUUCAUUGAUUUCUCAAGAGACAGGCCCUUAACCCUGGUUGAUGAACCAUGACCGUGCGAUCAGAGUGUGAUUAACGGCUACGAUCGUCUUCGGACGCAUUCGGUGCUGUAGAGGAUCGUUACUCGGCUCGGUUCUACCUUUCCGCGGUGGUUGCACGUACGGCGGUCUGACAGGUU
rfam:Arabidopsis lyrata subsp. lyrata unplaced genomic scaffold ARALYscaffold_8, whole genome shotgun sequence.